CGGUAAUACGUAGGGGGCAAACGUUGUCCGGAUUUACUGGUGUAAAGGGUGCUCAGGCGGUUUUGUAAGUCAGUAGUGAAAUCCUAGAGCUUAACUCUGGAACUGCUUUUGAUACUGCAAGGCUUGAAUGUGGAAGAGGAGGAUGGAAUUUCUGGUGUAGCAGUGAAAUGCGUAGAUAUCAGAAAGAACACCAGUGGCGAAGGCGGUCCUCUGGUCCACUAUUGACGCUAAAGCACGAAAGCGUGGGGAGCAAACAGGAUCAGAUACCCUGGUAGUCCACGCCUUAAACGAUGAAUACUAGACGUUGGGGUUAAACUCAGUGUCGCAGCUAACGCAUUAAGUAUUCCACCUGGGGAGUACGAUCGCAAGGUUGAA
rnacentral:rRNA from 1 species